rnacentral:rRNA from 1 species
GACGAACGCUGGCGGCGUGCUUAACACAUGCAAGUCGAACGAGAAUCACUGGAAGGAGUUUUCGGACAACGGAAGGUGAGGACAGUGGCGGACGGGUGAGUAACGCGUGAGGAACCUGCCUUUCAGAGGGGGACAACAGUUGGAAACGACUGCUAAUACCGCAUGACACAUAGAGAUCGCAUGGUUUUUAUGUCAAAGAUUUAUCGCUGAAAGAUGGCCUCGCGUCUGAUUAGCUAGUUGGUGAGGUAACGGCCCACCAAGGCGACGAUCAGUAGCCGGACUGAGAGGUUGACCGGCCACAUUGGGACUGAGAUACGGCCCAGACUCCUACGGGAGGCAGCAGUGGGGAAUAUUGGGCAAUGGGCGCAAGCCUGACCCAGCAACGCCGCGUGAAGGAAGAAGGCUUUCGGGUUGUAAACUUCUUUUGUCGGGGACGAGUAGAAGACGGUACCUGGCGAAUAAGCCACGGCUAACUACGUGCCAGCAGCCGCGGUAAUACGUAGGUGGCAAGCGUUGUCCGGAUUUACUGGGUGUAAAGGGCGUGUAGCCGGGAAGGCAAGUCAGAUGUGAAAUCCACGGGCUUAACUCGUGAACUGCAUUUGAAACUACUUUUCUUGAGUAUCGGAGAGGCAAUCGGAAUUCCUAGUGUAGCGGUGAAAUGCGUAGAUAUUAGGAGGAACACCAGUGGCGAAGGCGGAUUGCUGGACGACAACUGACGGUGAGGCGCGAAA